UACGUAGGUGGCAAGCGUUGUCCGGAAUUAUUGGGCGUAAAGCGCGCGCAGGCGGUCCUUUAAGUCUGAUGUGAAAUCCCACGGCUCAACCGUGGAAGGUCAUUGGAAACUGGGGAACUUGAGUACAGAAGAGGAAAGCGGAAUUCCACGUGUAGCGGUGAAAUGCGUAGAGAUGUGGAGGAACACCAGUGGCGAAGGCGGCUUUCUGGUCUGUAACUGACGCUGAGGCGCGAAAGCGUGGGGAGCAAACAGG
rnacentral:rRNA from 1 species